AGCCCACACAGCCCAUACAGAGCCCAUAUAGAGCCCACACAAACUAUAGAGACCCCUUCCACUUCCUUCUUAGGCCCCACUUCCUGCUUAGGCCCCACUUCCUGUGUAGACCCCACUUCCUGUUUAGGCCCCACUUCCUGUCUAGGCCCCACUUCCUGCCUAGGCCCCACUUCCUGCUUAGGCCCCACUUCCUGCUUAGGCCCCACUUCCUGUCUAGGCCCCUUCCACUUCCUGCUUAGGCCCCACUUCCUGCUUAGGCCCCACUUCCUGUGUAGGCCCGUUCCACUUCCCGCUCACCGUGACGUCCCAUGGCCGGAACAGAACUGCCGGUUGAGGUUGGACUUUCGAUGGUGGUCCAUGUCGGUGACGGUGACGCAGCCGUCGGGCCGCAGCCCAACCCCAACAUGGGGCGAAGUUCUUCAGCAGCUCACAGCAAUGGCGCCCGCACCCACUCUGCGGGGGCAAUGGGGAGAGGUUAAUGGGGCAAUGGGAAACAAUGGGGAUAUGGGGUCCAUGGGGUCAAUGGGGUCAAAUGGGGACAUGGGUUCAAUGGGGGAUAUGGGGUCAAUGGGGGAUAUAGGGGGCAAAAUUGGGGUUCAAUGGGGGAUAUAGGGGCCUAGGGCCUAUGGGCCAUUGGGGUCAAUGGGGAUAUGGGGGCGUAUAGGGGUCAAUGGGACA
rnacentral:lncRNA from 1 species